rfam:Citrus clementina cultivar Clemenules unplaced genomic scaffold scaffold_8, whole genome shotgun sequence.
UACCCAUGAUGUGGACACUUCAAGAGUAGCCCAUUGAAUCGCUUCCAUGUUUCGAAAAACUGCUCAUCCUAUCUCUGGGUAAAAUCUGAUAUUUUCCUGCGAAU